rnacentral:rRNA from 1 species
GGAUCCAGACUUUGAUCAUGGCUCAGGAUGAACGCUGGCGGCGUGCCUAAUACAUGCAAGUCGAACGCUUCACUUCGGUGAAGAGUGGCGAACGGGUGAGUAAUACAUAAGUAACCUGGCAUCUACAGGGGGAUAACUGAUGGAAACGUCAGCUAAGACCGCAUAGGUGUAGAGAUCGCAUGAACUCUAUAUGAAAAGUGCUACGGGACUGGUAGAUGAUGGACUUAUGGCGCAUUAGCUGGUUGGUAGGGUAACGGCCUACCAAGGCGACGAUGCGUAGCCGACCUGAGAGGGUGACCGGCCACACUGGGACUGAGACACGGCCCAGACUCCUACGGGAGGCAGCAGUAGGGAAUUUUCGGCAAUGGGGGAAACCCUGACCGAGCAACGCCGCGUGAAGGAAGAAGUAAUUCGUUAUGUAAACUUCUGUCAUAGAGGAAGAACGGUGGAUAUAGGGAAUGAUAUCCAAGUGACGGUACUCUAUAAGAAAGCCACGGCUAACUACGUGCCAGCAGCCGCGGUAAUACGUAGGUGGCGAGCGUUAUCCGGAAUUAUUGGGCGUAAAGAGGGAGCAGGCGGCACUAAGGGUCUGUGGUGAAAGAUCGAAGCUUAACUUCGGUAAGCCAUGGAAACCGUAGAGCUAGAGUGUGUGAGAGGAUCGUGGAAUUCCAUGUGUAGCGGUGAAAUGCGUAGAUAUAUGGAGGAACACCAGUGGCGAAGGCGACGAUCUGGCGCAUAACUGACGCUCAGUCCCGAAAGCGUGGGGAGCAAAUAGGAUUAGAUACCCUAGUAGUCCACGCCGUAAACGAUGAGUACUAAGUGUUGGGAGUCAAAUCUCAGUGCUGCAGUUAACGCAAUAAGUACUCCGCCUGAGUAGUACGUUCGCGAGAAUGCAACUCAAAGGAAUUGACGG